GCUGACGAGUGGCGGACGGGUGAGUAAUGUCUGGGAAACUGCCUGAUGGAGGGGGAUAACUACUGGAAACGGUGGCUAAUACCGCAUAACGUCGCAAGACCAAAGAGGGGGACCUUCGGGCCUCUUGCCAUCAGAUGUGCCCAGAUGGGAUUAGCUUGUUGGUGAGGUAACGGCUCACCAAGGCGACGAUCCCUAGCUGGUCUGAGAGGAUGACCAGCCACACUGGAACUGAGACACGGUCCAGACUCCUACGGGAGGCAGCAGUGGGGAAUAUUGCACAAUGGGCGCAAGCCUGAUGCAGCCAUGCCGCGUGUAUGAAGAAGGCCUUCGGGUUGUAAAGUACUUUCAGCGGGGAGGAAGGUGUUGUGGUUAAUAACCRCAGCAAUUGACGUUACCCGCAGAAGAAGCACCGGCUAACUCCGUGCCAGCAGCCGCGGUAAUACGGAGGGUGCAAGCGUUAAUCGGAAUUACUGGGCGUAAAGCGCACGCAGGCGGUCUGUCAAGUCGGAUGUGAAAUCCCCGGGCUCAACCUGGGAACUGCAUUCGAAACUGGCAGGCUUGAGUCUUGUAGAGGGGGGUAGAAUUCCAGGUGUAGCGGUGAAAUGCGUAGAGAUCUGGAGGAAUACCGGUGGC
rnacentral:rRNA from 1 species